UUUCCAUUCAGUUUCCAACCUUUCCCGCCACACUCUACUUCAUCGUCCACCACUCUCACUCUCCACCGCCGCCCCAACCGGUAGUGAAACGUUAGUACAGGGAGCUACUUUUCAGUUAUGCGUGGAAUGUUGAAGAGAGUAAGGAAGAAGAUAGCGUGGAUGGGUGAGUUUGGUGCUAAAAUGUGCUGAGGUUCACUUGUAGGUCGGUCAAGAUAUAUAUUCUUCAUAAUGGGAUUUCAAAGUCAAGUAGAGAAAGCCAAAAAUCUCCUCAGGACCAGGCUCUGUAACCCUAAUUUCAUCAUCAAGCCUCUCUCUGAUUCUCCUGACAGCAACUAUAGCAAAUUGAAGUUCACAAUAUCAAGCUCAAUCACAGAGGCAUGCAACAAUUCAAUUCUGCUUGUUGGCCCUCGUGGUUCUGGAAAAAUUGCAGUGUUGGAGCUUGCUCUCAAUGAUUUACUGCAAGAAUAUCCUGACACGAUAUCCUUGAUAAGAUUGAAUGGGCUGUUGCAUAGUGAUGAAAAUUGUGCCUUUAAGGAAAUUGCCAAACAGCUAUGCUUGGAGCAUCACUUGCUGUUUUCAAAAAUGGCAUCAUUUGAUGAUAACUCCCAGUUCAUGAUAGCUAUGUUACGGGAGUGUGGAUUAGCGCAUAAAACAAUUAUUUUCACACUUGAUGAGUUUGAUCAAUUUGCUCAGGGAAAACAGCGAUUACUUUAUAGCUUGCUGGAUGCAAUGAAUACAGUAACUUCACAAGCUGUUGUCAUUGGUGUGAGUUGCCGACUGGAUGUUGAUCAGCUUUUGGAGAAAAGAAUAAGAUCUCGUUUUUCACAUAGAAAGCUGUUGUUUCUUCCUCCAUCCAAGGAAGAUGUACAAAGAUUGUUGGAGCACGUGUUAUCUUUGCCAACAGACUCAAGUUUUCCUCAUGAUUAUGCUGCUCAAUUCAAUGGAAAGCUUCAAAAUCUUUUGGCAGAUGACAGAUUUAAAGAAAUUAUUAGUAGUUAUUUAGAUUUGAAUUCUACCAUCAACCAUUUGGUGAGAUUUCUGUUUAUUGUUGUCUCUUUAUGGGAAUCAAAGUCUGGCUUCCUAUCACUUGAGAACUUCAAAAGUGCACUUUCAAGCAUUCAAAGGCAGCCGAAGCAGGAAUGCAUAAAAGGUCUAUUUUUGGUCCAUGUGAUUAUUUUUAUUUGCUGUAUGAUCUUUACCUCAAUAAAUAUCGAAUGCUGGUAUGGUGUUUCUCCAUUGUUUCAUAUUUCUAUUAUGCCAUUAUGUCUGCAGAGUACACAUCCCUGCCUGACAUGCGAUAAUGGUCCAUUCUUUGCAAUUUUAGUUCAAGUUUUCAUUGUUGGAUGGAUUAUUCUCUUAUUAAAUUGAACAAAAUUUAAGAAUGACACUGCUGCCUGAAAAAGUAUUCAAUGGUUCUAGAUCUUUUUAAAGAUGUGGCCCUAGAUCUGGAAGAAUGGAGGAAAGUGAUAGCCAAUCCCAACUAGCUUGGGAUUAAGGUUUAAUCGAGCAGAGUUAACUAUUUUGUUGCUUGAACUUUUGUGAAAUACAUUUACUAGAAAGUAUUGAAAACCAAAGAAAUUCAUUGCUUUUGUGAUGCAAUUUUAUGUGGAAUGUGAUAUCAUGGCAACUUUUCUUGUCCAAGCAGACUGCUCAAUAUUAGAACUCUAUAUCCUUGUAUGCAUGAAGCGGUUGGAGGUUAAAGAGCAAAAUUCAUAUAACUUCAAUUCUGUAAUGAAAGGUCCAUUCUGAUUUUUUUUUUUAAUUUAUGUAUUUUUGUUCUUGUUUGUGUAUUUGAAAUUUCCAACAUGUAUAUUGCAUGUGACAGAGUACAGAAGCGUUCAUGAUUCAUUCCAAACAUCUGACUAUUAUGCACGGGAUGUAUGCUUACGGGUUUGUGUAGUUCCUAAUGAAACUCCUCUUUAUCUGAAUGAAAGAAGUAAUAUGAUAACAAAUCUACUGGGAGUUACUAUCUAGUUUUAAACAAUAUUUUGUCCUAAUUUCUGCAGUCAUUCGAACGCCUCAUACAACGUGAAUUAAUUUGUUUCACGGACAACAGAGCUCAUGGUCAAUCUGUUGAAUUUCGUCCAGUGAAGCUUCUAGUCUCAUAUGUUGAACUACAAGGGGGGCUGAAAUCAUAUCGUUCUUGUCCUAUCAUUCUUCAAAAAUUAAUGGAUCAUUAAAAUAGGAAGGGCUUCAGGAGACAACAUCAAUGGUUGAUUAGCUUCUUCAUGUAUAGAUGACCAGAGAAUUGUGGAAUUCACCUCUGCUGACUCUAUCACAAUGACUGCUCCAAUUUUCCCUGCCGCCACUGCUGGCAGAAAGCCAGUUUCAUAGACAAUAUCCGCCUUACAUAUUGUUAUUUAUCUCGCAGCUUCCCCUUGUAUUACUACUAAGUACUAUUGAGGAUCAUGAAUUUCUUAAUCCUUUAUGUGCAAACAAAAUUUUCACCCUCCAGGACUAGUUGAGAAAAAUGAUCCCAAACCCCAAGAUGAGAUGAAUGAUAAAAUAUAAAGAACACGAUAGAUGAUUAAGACAGACAUAUUGCCAACUUAAUCAAUUU
rnacentral:misc_RNA from 1 species